GGGCGCGUCGUCUAACUGGAUAAGACACGGACCUCCUAAGUCUGAAAUCGGGGUUCAAGUCCCUGCGUGCCUACCA
rnacentral:tRNA from 1 species